rnacentral:rRNA from 1 species
UACAGAGGGGGCAAGCGUUGUUCGGAAUUACUGGGCGUAAAGGGCUCGUAGGCGGCCAACUAAGUCGGACGUGAAAUCCCUCAGCUUAACUGGGGAACUGCGUCCGAUACUGGAUGGCUUGGAUUCGGGAGAGGAAUGCGGAAUUCCAGGUGUAGCGGUGAAAUGCGUAGAUAUCUGGAGGAACACCGGUGGCGAAGGCGGCAUUCUGGACCGACAUUGACGCUGAGGAGCGAAAGCCAGGGGAGCAAACGGG